rnacentral:rRNA from 1 species
AAGUCGAACGCCCUCUUCGGAGGGAGUGGCAGACGGGUGAGUAACGCGUGGGAACGUGCCCUUCGGUACGGAACAACAGUUAGAAAUGACUGCUAAUACCGUAUACGACCUCCGGGUGAAAGAUUUGUCGCCGAAGGAUCGGCCCGCGUUAGAUUAGCUUGAUGGUGAGGUAAAGGCUCACCAUGGCGACGAUCUAUAGCUGUUCUGAGAGGAAGAUCAGCCACACUGGGACUGAGACACGGCCCAGACUCCUACGGGAGGCAGCAGUGGGGAAUAUUGGACAAUGGGCGAAAGCCUGAUCCAGCCAUGCCGCGUGGAUGAAGAAGGCCCUAGGGUUGUAAAGUCCUUUCAAUGGUGAAGAUAAUGACGGUAACCAUAGAAGAAGCCCCGGCUAAUUUCGUGCCAGCAGCCGCGGUAAUACGAAAGGGGCUAGCGUUGUUCGGAAUUACUGGGCGUAAAGCGCACGUAGGCGGCCUUGUAAGUUGGGGGUGAAAU